UCCGAAGGGGGCUAGCGUUGCUCGGAAUCACUGGGCGUAAAGCGCACGUAGGCGGAUUGCUAAGUCAGGGGUGAAAUCCUGGAGCUCAACUCCAGAACUGCCUUUGAUACUGGCGACCUUGAGUCCGGGAGAGGUGAGUGGAACUGCGAGUGUAGAGGUGAAAUUCGUAGAUAUUCGCAAGAACACCAGUGGCGAAGGCGGCUCACUGGCCCGGUACUGACGCUGAGGUGCGAAAGCGUGGGGAGCAAACAGG
rnacentral:rRNA from 1 species